AUCCAGCUGAAAAGUCUCAAAUAGAAUGAAACGCGCGUCUUGGAU
rfam:Schistosoma mansoni strain Puerto Rico chromosome 4, complete genome